UUCUCAUUAAUAUAGGUGUAAGCCACCGGAAGUUACAAGGAGGAGUUACAAAUGGAAGUUCCAUGGAAGUUAUUUCCUGCACACAUCAUGGGACUAAGGUGUGGGAAGUUUACACUAGUGGGAGGUUGAAAACCAUCAAGUGGUUAUGUUAGGAAACCACACAUUCCAUACUAUUUACAACAAAAACAUUAUUUUGAAAGGGAUUUCUUCAAGAGUAACUAGAAUUAAAUAGAAAUAAAUAUCUACACUUACAUGAAUUGAAAACUGAAAUAAGAAAACGCAAGCAUUAAAUACCUGCAAGAGUAAUGGCACUAAUUACCGCUAUAUAAACAAGAAGUAUUCAUUGGAAAAACAAAAAGAAGAAAGGAAAAAAUGGCUUACUCUUUGCACAGAGUAAUCUUGAUUGCUCUUUUAUUCGCAAUUGCAGUUCCGUCUUCAUUGAGUCACACAGAAGUCGAAAAAGACCUAAUGCAUUACUGCUCUCAUACAGGUGAUAUGAAAAUAGAGUGCCGGCAAAUCAUCCAAUCCGAGUUAAUGAACAGAUUCAACAACGCGGAAAUUAGAGGAGUGGUUGAUAUCGCAAUGAACCUGACAAUAACAAAAGCCAGAGAAAUAAGCGGCAAGCUUGUGCGUCUUUCUGAUAUUUCCAAAGACGAGGAUUUGAUACACAAGUAUCUUUUGUGCAGCCAGAAUUACAGAGUUGUCCUCCUCAACCUCGAUCUAGCAAAUAGAAACUUGCAUGCUGAUUAUUACCGUAAUGCCCUUGUACAGAUUGAUAAUACUGUCGCAGAAUUGAAGAGCUGCAGCCAUGAAUUUACCAAGGACUUGUUCGACCCGGCCCACAUUAGGAACUUGAAUAAGGAGUUUAGACUUUAUGUGGAAAUUUUUAAGGUGACCCUGGACCGUUUGAUCUUCGAAAAUGACAAUGACUAAAAUCAAUUUAAUAUUGGUUUGGAAGUGAAAUAUUAUUCUAAAGCAAUAUAUUGUUUCUGGAUAUAAAUAUCAUGACGGAUUGCAACGAAUAAAUAAUAUAUGUAGUUCACUUUGUAUCUUCUUUUGCCGAACGAACUAAUUCCAAUUUCUUAUUAACUAAAGUUUCCAAAAUUUAUUAAAUUUACAAUGCUACAAAAGAGCUCUAAUAAUAAGAGUCACUCCACAGGCUAUGCAAUCGCAUGCUAAGGAAAAACAGUCCCACCAAAAUAAAGGAAGAAACUAAGAAAGAGACAUAUGGAUAUCUUGCGUACCUCCUUUGUGUUGGUUUUCGUAAUCGUCAUGUCAGUCAACCUAUCAUCAACGGGUCAUAAACUUACUGAUAAGGAGAUAAGCUCUUAAGUCCAACCAACGCAAUGCAAAUGACGAAAAAGCCCUCGCUGAAAUUUCAUUUGAUUUGACUUCCAAUGUGGACGAUAAAAUCCAACCCCGUUUGAACUCCCUUGCAUAGGCAACCCAUGAUUCUCGACUGAGAAAUGUUUGCAGCUUCUGCUCUAACAACUAAUAGCAAUGCGAAUCGUGACCUUGGAGCUGCUAAGGAAAACCUGCAUUCAGGUUCCUACAGCAAAAUUUCUGUCCAAGUUAAGGAUGCCUUUGAAGAAACCGAGAACUGUGAGGAACUGCUUGACGGGACAUCUACUGAUCAUGCACACAUAAAGAAGAAAAACCACGAGUUCCAAUUUAUUCUUAGCAUAGCCAUUGUCAUUUCAAUAAAUGUAACCAAAAUUAAGAAGUAAUAAUGUUCGUUACAUGAAAAAUUGUGAUCUAUUCAAUCAUGUAAUCAAAUAAGUCACUUAAUGUGAAGGUUUGUUUCAAGGUGUUAUUUAUUUAUGUUCUCGACUAUUAUUAGCAAUUUUAACAAAAUUUUGUCAUCCACAUCACUUUGUUAUUUACAAAGUAAUAGCUAAUACCAUCUAGUUUAAACAAAGUAAAGCAUGAAAGAAGGCAGUAUGAAACACACCAUCCAUCCAAUCUUAAAAUCAAAUAGAAGUAUAUGUAUUCACAUCAAAAGGUUUACAGUCUUAUUAAAUGUCCUUUUCUUUUUAAUACUCCAUUACUUACUAAAUAUUAAAUCAUGCAAAAAACUCACCACACAUAGAACACCUUAACAAAAGUAGUAAGAAAAACAGUAAUUAAAUUAAUAAAUUGAAGUCUAUACUUAAUGAAUUGAAACGCCAACAAAGAUAGAAUUAAAUUGAAAUCUAUACUUAAUGAAUUGAAAACUGAAGGUUCAUUAACUAUGAAAUUGCCGCUAUAUAAACAAGGCAUUUGAAGAAGAAGUAAUUCAUUGCAAGAGAAACAGCAUCAAAAAAUACUAGCAUAAUCAGAAUUUAAAAAAAAAUGGCUUACUAUUUGCACAAAAUAAUCUUCGUUGCUCUUGUUGUGGCAAUUGCAGUUCCCUCUUCAUUGGGCCGCAGAGAGAAGUCAGAUCUAGAAAAUGACCUAAGAGAUCUCUGCUCGCAGACAAAUAAAACAAAAAAAUGCUGGAACAUCAUCAAAUCCGAGUUCAGCAGAUUCAGCGAUGCGGAUGGCAACAAAGGCGUGGCCGGAGUCGUAAUCGACCUGGCAAUAGCAAAAUCCGACGAAAUUCACGACAAGCUCAACCAGCUCUACGACGAUUCGAAAAACGAUGAGUUGAAGGAAAAGUACCUGUCGUGCUCGAAGAACUAUAACGACGCCAGCCGCAACCUCGAUCUAGCGAGGAGAAACUUGGAUUCCGACGAUUACCGGAAUAUUUCUGUCCAGAUC
rnacentral:lncRNA from 1 species